GACGGAGGGCUCUAACGUUGUUCGGAAUCACUGGGCAUAAAGCGCACGUAGGCGGUUCGCUAAGUCGAAUGUGAAAGCCCCCGGCUCAACCGGGGAAUUGCAUUCGAUACUGGCGGGCUAGAGGGCGGCAGGGGUAAGUGGAACUCCGGGUGGAACGGUGAGAUGUGUAGAUAUCUGGAGGAACACCGGUGGCGAAAGCGGCUUAAUGCGCCGUCUCUGGCGCUGAGGUGCGAAAGCUACGGUAGCGAACGGG
rnacentral:rRNA from 1 species